rnacentral:rRNA from 1 species
UACGUAGGUGGCAAGCGUUGUCCGGAAUCACUGGGCGUAAAGCGCGCGCAGGCGGCGAUCUACGUCUGGGGUGAAAGCCCGGAGCUCAACUCCGGGACUGCCUUGGAUACGGGAUCGCUUGAGAAUUGGAGAGGCAAGGGGAAUUCCACGUGUAGCGGUGAAAUGCGUAGAUAUCAGAAAGAACACCUAUGGCGAAGGCAGCACUCUGGGACGGUACUGACGCUGAGACGCGAAAGCGUGGGGAGCGAACAGG